UAGCAACCCAGGUUGAUCUUGGCCUAGCAGAUGCGUACAUUCAUGGAGAUACUCUUUUGUAGAUAAAACAAGUCUUAUUAAUAUUUUCAAGAUGAGGGAGAAAAAAAGCUUAUUGGCUGAAGAACAGGUUACAAAUUCUUGAGAUUAUAAACUGGAGCUAACCCGGUGAUUGACUAAAAGAUGAAACACCAGCGCCCUCUGAAGAUUAAGUACUUUAUGUUUUUAAAACUUUUUUGUGUGUAUGACACUAGUGCAUUGUUUAAAUAUUUAUGGAUUAGAUACGAUACUAUCUUUUUGUUUUAAAUAAUUUUGAUAUUGAAAUAUAUUUUCAUUUUAAAUUUA